GGUAUAUGACUUUUAAUAAAUUUUUAAAGAAUUUUUAUCAAAUCUUACGAGUACUCAUAAAAUGAGGAUUUAGGAUUUCGAUUCUCGUUUCAGUCAGACCUAUUUUAACUCAAGUGUUUGGCGAGAGAAACUGAGAGAAACCACAAGAAAAGAAAAUAAUGAGAGGAAAGGAGAGAAACAUCUGCAAUAGAUCUUUGCAAGUCCUAAAGUUAAUUUCUUAAACUCAUUUCUUACACCAGCUAUCGUCUUUCCAACUGAAAAUACAUUUACACUUUGAUGCCUCUUUACAUGCUAUAGAUAUUAUGCUCUUAAAAACCAGUAAGCAACCGAGAAUUGCCUUUCUGAUCACUACCUAAUUUCUUGUGAAAUCCCAAUUAUAGAUUACACAGAAAGAGCUGAAUAUACAAUAAAAAUAUUAACAAGAGGAUCUUAUUCAGUAGGCCUAAAAGUUGAGUGUUUAUUUACAAUUAUAAUCUUAGCAGAAAAUAAAGAUGAGAUGACAAACUUGUGAAAAUCACCUUCCAUGUUAGCUGUACAAAAAUUCUCUCCUUUUUGCUGUCUUUCAGCUGCGGCAAAGAAAAAAAAAAGGCCUUCCAUGUUUCUAGUUAAAGUGCCUUGUGAGCAGAAGAGGAUGCGAGUCCUAUGCGUCUUUCUCCAGUGGCAAUGAGCUUCUCGACACGAGAAACUAUAUGUUUACCAAAAGUGUAACGCUUCAGCGCAUUUAAGUGAACUUUGAUACGAGAAAGAAUUAACUCAAGAUUCCGAUCAUCACAGGUCUCAAGAACUUUUUGCACAACAUAAUUUCCAAAUGGAUCUUUCAUCAUGGCCUGCAAGGGCUCAUUUUCAUCAGUGGAACCAAGCAUCUCAUUCACUAAAAUUUGACGCUCCUCAGGACCACCAAAAGUUAGGCACUUCUCCACAACAUUAGAAGCAAAUUUCUGCUGACUCAUAUUUACAAUUUGUCCUGCAAGCUUGCUAAUAAUAGCAGAUCGUUCGUGUGGUUUGCCAUGUUCAAGGACAUGCUGAAUAACAUAAUUCCCAUACUGAUCUUGUGCCAGAAUGCAAACAGACUGCAUAAUCUCAUCCAUAAUAAUGUGCUGAGUAUUCAUGUUCUUACAGUGUUCCAGGACCCUCUGAAUGACGCGACAGCCAUAAGGAUGGGUGGAAAGUGCUAGAACUUGUCCAUAGAAAGCUGAGAUAAUAAACUGAAUUCGAACUUCAGGUACACACUCUAUGCACUUCUGAAUAACAUGAUUACCAUUCUGAUCACGAACACAUUUCAUAACUGAACCAUCAAGCUCUGCCACCAUUUGAGUCUGCUGAUCCACAUCAACCACCUCCAAGGCCUUCUGAAUUACUCUGCACCCAUACAUUUGAAGGCUGAGAGGUAAAACAUGACCAGUAAGCUGGCUGGCUAACUCUGUUCUUUGACAUUCUGUACCAUGCUCAAAAAAUUUCUGUAUGACGUAAUUUCCAAACACAUCUGUCAUCAAGGUGCGAGAAUGAGGGAUAAUUUCAGGGAAUAUCUUGUUCUUUUCUUCCACCGUAGCAGUUUCUAGUUUCUGCUGAAUGAAGCGACUCCCAUACUGAUCCGUACUGAAUUCAACAACAUGAUCAACAAUGUCUGAGAGUUCAAAAGACCUGGUCUUGUUCUUGAACUCAUCUAGUAAGGAUGACGCAUAUCUUCUUUCCACGUUGUUGCCAAUAUCAGAGUGCCAUGGCCCAAUGGAUCCUCCCAUUGAGUUUCUCACCAUAGAAGUAAAGUGUGCAACUCGCUCAUCCUGAAAAUUUCCAGAUCCAACAGAAGGAAGCACAGAGUUUGCCAUUGAAUUCCCCAGAUAUGGGCCAUAUGGCAUGCCGAGACCAUAUGGUGAAUUCCUAUGGUAACCCUGAUUCAAACUGCCAGACUUAACCAGUGCAGGCUCAUAUUGUUGUUUUUGUUGAGCAAGCAAUGCUUCAAGGUAUGCUUUCUGAAUCCCAUCCAAGUCUCCAUGUGAAGUUGCAAAAAGGUUUCUAACCUGGGGAUCAUUUGUAUGCGUUGCAUAAUCAGAAGUUCUUCGCAAGUUCUGAAUAUAAAGCGAGUCCAUAACCGGAGAAUGAGGAUCAAGCCCUGCUUGGUUUCCUGCUCUAUUCAAACUGUGCUCAAUUCCAUAACCACCUAAAGCUGAACCUGCAUCAAGAUGGUUUUUGAGCGCUGUAUCCCGCUUCUGAUUGAUGGGGUAGGCACCAGGUACGUGGCUGACAAAAUCCAUACUAACAGUAUUUGCAUUUUGCUGAUGACCAUUUGAUCUUUCCAAACCUCCAAUGCCUGAGGAAUUCACUUUUGAGUGAAGAUUUGCAAAAGAAGAAGUUCUUUUGGGAAUACUAACCUCCCCGUGAGAAUUAAACUCAGAAGUGUCCAGGUUUGGCAGGACCCUGUUUUUCCUUGCUACAUCAAUGUAGUUGGUAGAAAAUGCGAGAUUUUCUGCAUUGGAUUUUUCUAUGAGUUGUUGCUGCAGACGAUUAUGACCACUGGAUGUAUUGAAAAGAAAAUCCUGCUGCUUGGUCAGAUCUACAAGACUAUCCUGCUCUGCAUGCCUAAUCUUUGAUAGGUUUAAACCAGACAAAGUAGCCACAAUCUCACCAAGCUCAGUUAUGCCAGAAGAAUGACCAUUUGGGGCAGUAGGGCCAACAAUAUUCUUUUUCUCAAGAUGGCCAACUCUGCUCCCCACAGGAGGAAGACCAGAACUAGGAGACCUCCCAACUAGCUGCUGUUCAGGUGUUGUACUUCUUGACAGUGAUGAACCGAGAGCAGAUGAGAACGAAUGAGAAACAGCUGCUCCAUGGCUUUGAACUCCUACCAAGCCAGGAGAAGCAGAUCCAGAACGUAAGCCCUCUAAGGACUCCAAUCCACCACAUAACCCAGGUUGAUGAUCACAUAUCCCAGUUGCGCCCAGGAGAUCACCAAAAGCAUUAUGACUGGCUGGGCGUGAUAGGUGGCCUGAUAAAGAAGCAGGUCUAUCAAGUCCUUCCUGAAGAAUGUCAGCAAAACUCUUCCUCCUCCCACCAAGCCCAACACCCUGCAAUCCAGUUAAACCACCUGAGCACCUAUCAAGCCACUCGGCUGAGUUCUGCAUAGAGAAAUUAUUUCUAUUGGCAUUCUUUAAAUCCAUCAAAUCAUUCUCCAGCUUCUGUACAGAAUUUCCUGGCUGCGUCGAAAAAAGUGAUGAACCAUUGCCCUCAUCAACCAACUUCUUCCUCCUCAAGUCCCCAGUGCCUCCACGCAAAGACCCACCAGCCUGAAACCUUUGGGCAACACGCCAAUCCUCUUUUGACAGCAAUGGUGGGGGUAGUCUCGGAUUUAUGCUAUGAUGAGAAUAAUAAUAUGAAAGAUAUGCUGGAUGUGUGCGAAUCUCAUCAUCAGUCAGAACUAAAUUAUUACCGCUACUAUUCCUAAUGCUACUAAUAUUACUAAAAUUGGAGUCCUUAAAAAGACUACCCACGGCACUUAAUGAUCCCUCAACAGUUGGUGGAGCACUGCCACUCCUAAAUAUAUUGAGAUCCUUUUCUCGAUCAACUAAAUGCUGAUUCUGCUGUGCUUGCAGUAUCAACUCUAGCUCACUCUGCAAACUAUCUUCUAAAUUACCAUUGGGCCCUUGCAGAUGAUCAUCUAGGCUCAGUCGCAUAUCUAUGUUGCUCCCAGUGACCAUCUUUGAAACUGCAAUUCGCUCCUUCUACACCAAUCUCCACAUCAACUCGUCCAAAGCACAAAAUAAUCAAUCGGAAUCAAAAGCUGAAAAUCCGAAAAGAAUUUUUUUUUUUGUUUUUAGAAAGGUUGAUCAAACGGCGUCGUGUCAGCAAUGGAGAGGAGCUGCUUCAAACUAAAAAUCAAUGCACGUAAAACUUAUAAUAAUUUUUUAUAAAAUGAAAUCCUUGAACAGCAAUUAAGAUAGCAAAAAAAAAGUUCUGAUCGUAGAUAGAGUGAGAAUUAAGAACAGAUUUCCAAGAAUCGAAAAAGAGAGAGAGAAUUUACAGAGCGAACAUGGAGGACGGAGACUAUUGGAAACGGUCACUGCUUGCGCUUUUUUUU
rnacentral:misc_RNA from 1 species